AGGAAGUCUAAACAAUUUACUAUCAGUUUGUUGCCUAGCAAAAACAGGGCAUUUCCAGAGUGCAGUGCCAAGCCCUUCUGUUGCAAGAAAAAUAACGUACUUCUGAAUAUUUCAAGUCAGCGUAACUGAGUCAUGCUUUUCCUUAGAGACGACGGCACAGCAGAAACAUAUGCAAAGGCCUCAGGGCUCUUUGUCUUACUAUAUUCUCACAGCACUCGCUUGCUGUGAAGCUCAACAAAUAAAGUCACUUCAGUUUCCUAUUUAACACAGAAAAGUUUUUAAAAAAUUAUGGCUGUUGCCACUUCCUGUUAGUGGUAUGAGGUGACCGAAGCCUACCGUCCUCGCCUUUAUUCGAGCAUCCAGUGAGUUCCUACAGCAUUAACACGAGCUCACUUCAUGCUAUCAUCCACCGCGCUACAGGGAGCUGAAUCCACACGAAGGAUGAGCAGAUGUCCCUCAGCAUGGAAUGGAAGAAUAGAUCGUCUGGCUUUCCAACAAAUGCAGAACACAUACAGUAUUUCUUGAGCUUCCCCGUAGCAUUAUUGACCAGUGAUCAACCUUGAAUUCCUAACAGCCCGUCAGAAAACAUACACUUGUUUUACACCUCAAAAAUCUCUUUCAUCCACGGAUGGCACUACAGGAAGCGGCGGCAGGAAGAAGGCAACAGAAAUGUUUGAAGAGCAGACUCACUGACCGGGUGAGCUGAAGCUGUGGACUACACGGACAGACUUGCUUUCUCUCACUGCUGAUACAAACAUGUUCUGGAACCAGACCCAACACAGAAGAGAAUUAUAUCACUUCAGCUUGCACUGGUUACUGAACACAUCAAAAUCCAGGCAGCUCAUAUGUCUCAAAAGAACAUUAGCUGCCCUCCCCGAAUCCUGGGCCACCCCCAAAAGCGUAUGUCUACCUGUGACAUCAUGAGUAAAUGAUUUUUUUUUUUUUAAAAAGAUGAGUUUGUUGUGUACAACAUCCACGAAUGCUGUAAUUAGGCUCUGUGUUCAGAAACGUCAGAUGAGUUUCCACCAGCCAAUUACAAAAAGAACAGCUUUGCUGAAAGCCUCUUCAUUUACUUCAUCAAGGAACCGGGUUGACGCGCAGAAGGCAGGCGAGGGAAGAGGCCAUCCUUCCAGGAUGCGCAGCCACACCACACGCUGUUUUACAGGCACAACCAACAGUCUCAGAGGCAGUCACUGCUUUCCUUACCCACAGUCACA